rnacentral:rRNA from 1 species
GACGAACGCUGGCGGCGUGCUUAACACAUGCAAGUCGAACGGAAAGGCCCUGCUUUUGUGGGGUGCUCGAGUGGCGAACGGGUGAGUAACACGUGAGUAACCUGCCCUUGACUUUGGGAUAACUUCAGGAAACUGGGGCUAAUACCGGAUAGGAGCUCCUGCUGCAUGGUGGGGGUUGGAAAGUUUCGGCGGUUGGGGAUGGACUCGCGGCUUAUCAGCUUGUUGGUGGGGUAGUGGCUUACCAAGGCUUUGCCGGGUAGCCGGCCUGAGAGGGUGACCGGCCACAUUGGGACUGAGAUACGGCCCAGACUCCUACGGGAGGCGGCAGUGGGGAAUAUUGCACAAUGGGCGGAAGCCUGAUGCAGCAACGCCGCGUGCGGGAUGACGGCCUUCGGGUUGUAAACCGCUUUCGCCUGUGACGAAGCGUGAGUGACGGUAAUGGGUAAAGAAGCACCGGCUAACUACGUG